rnacentral:misc_RNA from 1 species
GUGAAUCAUCAAAUCUUUGAACGCAAAUUGCACUCUCCGGUUUUCCAGGAGAGUAUGCCUUUUUGAGGGUCAUCCUAAAAAAAAUCGACAUAGUUGCCUGUUUCGCGGUGACGUUCGUCGGUAAUUUGGUCAUCUUAAACCUUGGGGUUUUAAUCGGCUUAAAAUGUUCUUUACGAUUCCACGAACUGUUCUAAAAUUUUACUUCUUACACUUUUAAGUUAUCAAUCUUUAUGAGACGUGUCCUUGGC